AGGACGAACGCUGGCGGCGUGCUUAACACAUGCAAGUCGAACGGUAAGGCCCUUCGGGGUACACGAGUGGCGAACGGGUGAGUAACACGUGGGUGAUCUGCUCUGCACUUCGGGAUAAGCCUGGGAAACUGGGUCUAAUACCGGAUAGGACCAUGGACUUCACGGUUUGUGGUGGAAAGCUUUUGCGGUGUGGGAUGGGCCCGCGGCCUAUCAGCUUGUUGGUGGGGUAAUGGCCUACCAAGGCAACGACGGGUAGCCGGCCUGAGAGGGUGUCCGGCCACACUGGGACUGAGAUACGGCCCAGACUCCUACGGGAGGCAGCAGUGGGGAAUAUUGCACAAUGGGCGCAAGCCUGAUGCAGCGACGCCGCGUGAGGGAUGACGGCCUUCGGGUUGUAGACCUCUUUCAAUAGGGACGAAGCGCAAGUGACGGUACCUAUAGAAGAAGCACCGGCCAACUACGUG
rnacentral:rRNA from 1 species